rnacentral:tRNA from 1 species
GAGGGUAUAAAGUGUGUGCUUAACAGGCACAAGGACCCUGGGUUCAAUUCCCAGUACCUCCA